rnacentral:rRNA from 1 species
UACAGAGGGUGCAAGCGUUGUUCGGAAUUAUUGGGCGUAAAGCGCGUUUAGGCGGCGUGACAAGUCGGGUGUGAAAGCCCUCAGCUCAACUGAGGAAGUGCGCCCGAAACUGUCGUGCUUGAGUGCCGGAGAGGGUGGCGGAAUUCCCCAAGUAGAGGUGAAAUUCGUAGAUAUGGGGAGGAACACCGGUGGCGAAGGCGGCCAACUGGUCCGGUACUGACGCUGAGGUGCGAAAGCGUGGGGAGCAAACAGG